UACGUAGGGGGCAAGCGUUAUCCGGAUUUACUGGGUGUAAAGGGAGCGUAGACGGCAAUACAAGUCGGAAGUGAAAUACCCGGGCUCAACCUGGGAACUGCUUUGGAAACUGUAUGGCUGGAGUGCUGGAGAGGUAAGCGGAAUUCCUAGUGUGGCGGUGAAAUGCGUAGAUAUUAGGAGGAACACCAGUGGCGAAGGCGGCUUACUGGACAGUAACUGACGUUGAGGCUCGAAAGCGUGGGGAGCAAACAGG
rnacentral:rRNA from 1 species